GUGUCAGCCGCCGCGGUAAUACGGAGGGUGCGAGCGUUAAUCGGAAUUACUGGGCGUAAAGCGCAUGCAGGUGGUUUGUUAAGUCAGAUGUGAAAGCCCGGGGCUCAACCUCGGAAGGUCAUUUGAAACUGGCAAACUAGAGUACUGUAGAGGGGGGUAGAAUUUCAGGUGUAGCGGUGAAAUGCGUAGAGAUCUGAAGGAAUACCAGUGGCGAAGGCGGCCCCCUGGACAGAUACUGACACUCAGAUGCGAAAGCGUGGGGAGCAAACAGGAUUAGAUACCCUGGUAGUCCACGCCGUAAACGAUGUCUACUUGGAGGUUGUGGCCUUGAGCCGUGGCUUUCGGAGCUAACGCGUUAAGUAGACCGCCUGGGGAGUACGGUCGCAAGAUUAAAACUCAAAUAAAUUGACGG
rnacentral:rRNA from 1 species